UUGACCAAGUUUAUCCUUCCUUUUUGGCCGCUGAUUGAUCGGGAUUUAAUCCUGUAUACACGCCUUUCCCUCAUUAUCUCAAUCAUGAACUUGGCCUCUUUUUUUUUUUAAACAAAUACAUCAAUCAUUUUUACGGAAACUUCAAUCAACCUCGAGUCCGAAACGCGUAUAUAUAGACAACAUGUUUGGUCCGAGAAACCCACAACCACUGGAUUACCUAAUUGUUUGGUGCAAGUCAUAUAAGUGUUUUUUUUUUUUUGUAUUUAUCAUCUUACUACAAUGAAUUCCUUUUGAAACAAAACUUGCCGUGCAAACCUACAACGAUUAUGGAAGGUAGCAAAUCACUGACCAAUUCCCAGUCAAGUUUCCUUACAAGAAGAUCUCACACUCAUGGCCAGAUUGGAAAACGCGUUUUCUCGUGAGCCAUGUCCUUUAUCAUCGAACACUUCUUUAUAAAUUCCAACACUCUAAAUCUACCGACAAGAAAACUCACCCUCUUAUUCGCAUGGUUUCGUCGACCACAACCCAUUUACACUCUCUCAUUACCCGCAACAUUCGUACUGCCGAAGGACUCGCAAUACGCUGGAGAAGGAUCUGCAACCCGUCGGAGCACGUCAACGAUUGUUUCGUCAUCGCUUCGGAUAAUCCUCGAUGUUCCAAACUUUUCCCAAUCCCAUUCGUGUGCUAGAAUUUUUGCAAGGAUUCGCUAACGCAAACUUGUGAACAGGUACGAAGAGAAGAUUGGACACAGGAUGGGCUUUAGUUAACAAAAAAACGGAUUAGCUUAGUGUAGUUAUGAACCAUGGCUUGUGCUUGUAAUUGUGUAUUUGAAUUAAUUGUUUCGUGAAACAUUUGUUAUGAAUUAAUGAUUAUUUAAAACA